rnacentral:rRNA from 1 species
UACGGGGGGAGCAAGCGUUGUUCGGAUUUACUGGGCGUAAAGGGCGCGUAGGCGGUCAGCACAAGUCAGUUGUGAAAUCUCCGGGCUUAACUCGGAAAGGUCAACUGAUACUGUGCGACUAGAGUGCGGAAGGGGCAACUGGAAUUCUCGGUGUAGCGGUGAAAUGCGUAGAUAUCAGGAGGAACACCGAUGGCGAAGGCAGGUCUCUGGGCCACUACUGGCGCUGAGAAGCGAAAGCAUGGGGAGCGAACAGG